rnacentral:rRNA from 1 species
AUUGAACGCUGGCGGCAGGCCUAACACAUGCAAGUCGAACGAGUGGCGGACGGGUGAGUAAUGUCUGGGAAACUGCCCGAUGGAGGGGGAUAACUACUGGAAACGGUAGCUAAUACCGCAUACCAUCGGAUGUGCCCAUAUGGGAUUAGCUAGUAGGUGGGGUAACGGCUCACCUAGGCGACGAGCCCUAGCUGGUCUGCGAGGAUGACCAGCCCCACUGGAACUGAGACACGGUCUAGACUCCUACGGUAGGCAGCAGUGGGGAAUAUGGCCCAAUGGGCGCAAGCCUGAUGCAGCCAUGCCGCGUGUGUGAAGAAGGCCUUCGGGUUGUAAAGCACUUUCAGCGAGGAGGCGUUACUCGCAGAAGAAGCACCGGCUAACUCCGUGCCAGCAGCCGCGGUAAUAC